AAAUUGAAAAAGGAUUUGGGAGAAGGAAUAUGGUUUUUGUUAAUUCCCUCUCUAAAAUCAAACAUUCUCCAAGUUUAAAAGUUUAAUACAUUAAUCCUUCCUUGAGCCGGGAUAUCUUGUCCGGUUCGGUUUGAUUCGGGGCUUAAAGCACAAGGGUUAUCUCCCCUUGUUUUUUGAUUAAAGCCGGUUUAAGGUUCCUCCAUUAGUUGAAAAGAAUAAAGGGAAUAUUUACUUGGCAAGGACGAGUCUUCCUAGUGUGCUCAAAGCGUACCUAGAACUAUUUCAAAAGGAUUUUUCAUUAUUUCUUAGUUUGCGCUCCAAUGAAAUGACACCAAGAGGGCGAAUGGUUAUAACAAUGUUAGGCAGGAGAAGUAAAGAUCCCUUGGGUAAAGAGGGUUACUUUUGGGUGCUCUUGUCCAAGUCACUGAAUGAUUUGGUGUCAGAGGUAUGCUUAGUGCUUACCAUGUAUAUUAUACUUACAAAUUUAAUGGUUAUUAGGAUUGAUUUUCUUCUCAUAUUCUGAUUGUUAAAAUUUUAUUAAUUUGAUUGAAGAAGCUCAAGUUGAUUCAUUUAAUUUGCCCUUCUAUAUGCCUUCUAGUAAAGAGUUAGAGGCUGUAGUUCGUGCAGAAGGAUCAUUUUAUCUUAAUCAACUAGAAAUCUUUGAUGUCAAUUGGGAUGUGAGUGAUGAUGAUGACAACAAAGGCUUCAUGUUUGAUAGAUGGAUAAGUGCGCAGAAAAUGGCAAAGUGUAUAAGAGCUGUAACAGAACUCAUGAUCGCUUGUCACUUUGGAAAUGCUAUAAUUGAUAUUUUGUUUGCUAGGUACAUGGAGUAUGUUAGUGAGCACCUCUCCAAGGAGGAGGGUAAGUUUGUUACUUUUGUCAUUUCCUUGAGAGGAAAGUGAAGCUUUGAGACUUUUGAAGAGGCUUAGAAUAAGAAAAGAAGUCCUUUAUUUAUGCUUUAGCUGCCCAGAGGCAGCCAACCCUAUUGAACUAGAAAAAAAAAAUGUUAAUGUUGCAGAUCCACCUUUCCAAUAUAUUUUGUGAUUUGGAGGCAGAUUGAUGGAAAUUUCUUGAUCAAUUAAUUCAUUCUUUUCUCGCA